rnacentral:rRNA from 1 species
AUUGAACGCUGGCGGCAUGCCUUACACAUGCAAGUCGAACGGCAGCACGGGUGCUUGCACCUGGUGGCGAGUGGCGAACGGGUGAGUAAUACAUCGGAACAUGUCCUGUAGUGGGGUAUAGCCCGGCGAAAGCCGGAUUAAUACCGCAUACGAUCUACGGAUGAAAGCGGGGGCCCUUCGGGCCUCGCGCUAUAGGGUUCGCCGAUGGCGGAUUAGCUAGUUGGUGGGGUAAAGGCCUACCUAGGCGACGAUCAGUAUCUUGUCUGAGAGGACGACCAGCCACACUGGGACUGAGACACGGCCCAGACUCCUACGGGAGGCAGCAGUGGGGAAUUUUGGACAAUGGGCGAAAGCCUGAUCCAGCAAUGCCGCGUGUGUGAAGAAGGCCUUCGGGUUGUAAAGCACUUUUGUCCGGAAAGAAAUCCUUGGACCUAAUACGGUCGGGGGAUGACGGUACCGGAAGAAUAAGCACCGGCUAACUACGUG